CCCUGCCUUUUGUACACACCGCCCGUCGCUACUACCGAUUGAAUGGCUUAGUGAGCCUUUGGGACUAGCCGCUUGUACCGGCAACGGGAACGAGUGGCCGGGAACUUAGGCAAACUUGGUCAUUUAGAGGAAGUAAAAGUCGUAACAAGG
rnacentral:rRNA from 1 species